rnacentral:lncRNA from 1 species
AUCAUGAGCAUGUUCAUUACAGUCAUAAGGAGAACUCACCCAAAUGGUUUCAUUUAUUUGAAUGAAUCUUUGUACUUUGUAGGAACGCUCAUCCGAUGUAUGCAUUACCUCGAGGAAACGGGGAAACAAAUCUAAUUAUUUUGUUUGGAUAGAAGCAAUGACAACAACGAGUGAGAGUGUCUCACUUCACUCCUGAAGUUAAUGCAAGUAUGGAUUGAUUUUCUGUUAUUCAUACAAUUCAAAAGAGGAAGAUCGCCUUCUCGAGGAAAACCGGCCUUCUUGCUCUCGACACCUAUGCACCUGAGAAUCUUCGUGACGUUCUUGCGCUGAGAUACCAACAACUCUUUCCUGAGGAAUUAGGUUAAUAUGUUGGCUAUGGAAAGCAAGCUAUAACAGAUUGCAUAGUUAAAUAAGAAUGUAACUUUAUUAACUCUCUAAACACAUCUAGUAUAAUUCCUUACUGAGCCCUAUGUAAACGGGUGUCAUGUUCUCUUUACAAUGGAGUGAUUCUCCAUCUAGGUUUUCAUAAUAAAAGGUUGCUUUUUCAUUGUGAACAAAAGAAGAUGAUACCAGUAGAUGCGUUUAUCCAAUGGACACUAGAAAAAACACAUAUGUGACAUUAUGAGUCAAACGAUUUUUUUUUGUCAUAGAUAUGACACUUACAUGACGAUAAUUAUGACAAAAACACGUAUCAUCAUAGAUGUGGUGGCCUCUUCUGACCGUGGUAGGCUAGAGGAACCUUGCAUUCUUGUAAACAAUAGAGGCUCCCCAAGAUUGCUAGACGAUAUGUUUGUUGGGGCCUGGGGAAACUAGGACUCUUUUUAGUCAGGAGUGCUUACCAUUCGGCGUCCGAGGAGGCUACACGUGACAACACUACUUUGUCGAGCUCUGCACCAGAUGGCUGCAGUCCAUGUUGGAAGCCCAUAUGGUCAAGCGACGUGCCUCCUACUGUGAAUUUUUUUUGCUUGGCGACUUUCCACCAACUCGCUUCCUACUUGGCAAAAUAUGCACAAGCGGGGACUUGAAAUACAAGAACAUCUACAGCUGGCCUCCUCAAAUACCCAUAGACGUGCCCGAUCAGUCCAUCAUGUAGGACGUGAUCCAUCCUAAAUCAUUUUUUUCUAUUCUUUUUUUUCUUUCUCUCUCUCUUCACCUUUCUGCAUGGGCAAAUAAAUAGGGGCUUAAAAUGAACACGUCGGAGCAUUGAUCGGGCGCAUUCAUGAAUGUUUAGGGGCCUGCUUUGUUAAGCCCAACUGUAGAUAUCUGAUACUCAAAACUAAAUGAAAUUGCUCACGUAUGGUUUCUCUAUGUGAGAUCCUACGGAAAAAGAGCGUCCCACCGGCACUGAAGAUCGGUCUUCACUAUUGUUCCAUUAUGCGUUACACAUGCUAUUGAACCUUAAUUAGUGUUUGUAACGAUAUUACUAAUGUACUGGGUGAAAAUAGUUAGCGAACACAAAUGGGCCAGUUCGUAUUGAGAAAAAAACAAUCACGCCAUGUCGGGAUGUGCAAUUUUCUAUCUUGCACAUAGCAAAUACUCUAGCGUGCAACCUCAUGUUUGAAUGUGCAUAUUUCGGGUCAGUGAGUGUGACUUUGCCGCAAGGCGGGGAUUAUAUUUAUCUCCCACGUUGGCUAGCCUGCAAAGGUCUCUUCUGGUCCUGGCCGAUCACUAUCAUCUUCAAUAAGUCAAGAUCAGCAAAAUGAACUGGUUAACAAACUCCACCUCAUUACCGUAAAAUCAUUCCUGGUGCCUUUCAAGCCUAAACGAUUUGUAACUGACGCUUUUCACUCUCUAUAUAUGGGUGGACUUUGUUGAUAGAGGAUAAAUAUGAAUUGGAACUAAGAGGCACACGCGAGAGAUUGAUCUCUCUCCAUCGUUGCUAAAGGAAAUUGGAUUUGGAGCUGAGAGGCACGGGAUAGACUAGUAUUUAUUGGUCGGGUAUGGUGACAUGCAUGAAGGUGCUAUGCUGGCCCACCACAUUGCAUGUCUUUUGUGUGCUUUGGUACUAUUUUAGCACAUGGGCUACACAUCUCUAGUCAGCUUUGAUUCGCGAUCCUCAUCCUUAUGCAUAGUAAAAUCAUAUAUUCACCGCAUCAUAGGCUGACACCCGGUGCACUCCUCCACGGAUAAAUCAUCGGUCAUCAAACAUGCUACAAAAUAUGGUAUGUAGCGCAACCACAUAGCAUGACUUCCAUGGACAGAUCAUGAGCAUGUUCAUUACAGUCAUAAGGAGAACUCACCCAAAUGGUUUCAUUUAUUUGAAUGAAUCUUUGUACUUUGUAGGAACGCUCAUCCGAUAUAUGCAUUACCUCGAGGAAAUGGGGAAACAAAUCGAGUGAGUGUGUAUCACUUCACUCCUAAAGUUAAUACAAGUGGAGAUUGAGUUUUUGUUAUUCAUAUAAUUCAAAAGAGGAAGACCGUCUUCUCGAGGAAAACUGACCAUCUUGCUCUCGACACUUAUGCACCUGAGAAUCUUCUUGACGCUCUCGCGCUGAGAUACCAACAACUCUUUCCUGAGGAAUCAGGUUAAUAUGUUGGCUAUGGAAAGCAAGCUAUAACAGAUCGUAUAGUUAAAGAAGAAUGUAAUUUUAUUAGCUCUCUGCACACAUCUAGUACAGUUCCUUUCUGAGCCGUAUGUAAAGGGCUGUCAUGUUCUCUUUACAAUGGAGUGAUCCUCCAUCUAGGUUUGCAUGAUAAAAGAUUGGUUGUAAUCUUUUCUUCCCCAAUCUAUUGCUUGUUCGUUGUGAACAAAAGAAGAUGAUACCAGUAGAGGGUGUUUAUCCAGUGGACACUAUAAAAAAAGACACAUCCGUGACAUCAUGGGCCGAACGUAAACUGUUUUUUUGUCAUGGAUAUAUGACACUUUGAAGAGAAGCACAUCGACCCCAUGGUGUCCCGUCGGACGUUGGGACUGGCGUGUCCAUGCAGGUGUACCGGCG